GGAUUGUUAGUUUAACGGUAAAAUACUGAUUUUAUAUACACCUCCCCUUAGAUAAAAUCAGAGAUGUGAGUUCAAAUCUCAUGCAAUCCU
rfam:Clostridium phage D-1873 CLG.Contig173, whole genome shotgun sequence.